CGAGCCCUGAGAUGAGUCUUCCCUGAUACUUUAAGUAUCCUAAAGGGUUGUCGGAGACUACGACGUGAUAGGUCAGGUGUGUAAGUGCUGUGAGGCAUUGAGCUAACUGAUACUAAUUGCCCGUGAGGCUUAACCAUACAACACCUAAGGGGUUU
rnacentral:rRNA from 1 species